AUUGAACGCUGGCGGCAGGCUUAACACAUGCAAGUCGAGCGGUAACAGAGAGAAGCUUGCUUCUCUGCUGACGAGCGGCGGACGGGCGAGUAAUGCCUAGGAAUCUGCCUAGUCGUGGGGGAUAACUUGCCGAAAGGUAAGCUAAUACCGCAUACGUCCUACGGGAGAAAGGAGGGGACCUUCGGGCCUUUCACUAUUAGAUUCGCCCAGGUCGGAUUAGUUAGUUGGUGAGGUAAUGGCUCACCAAGACCGCGAUCCGGAACCGGGCUGAGAGGAAGAUCAGUCACACUGGAACUGAGACACGGUCCAGACUCCUACGGGAGGCAGCAGUGGGGAAUAUUGGACAAUGGGGGGAACCCUGAUCCAGCAUGCCGCGUGUGUGAAGAAGGUCUUAGGAUUGUAAAGCACUUUAAGUUGGGAGGAAGAGCAGUUAACUAUAUUUGACUGUUUUGACGUUACCGACAGAAUAAGCACCGGCUAACUUCGUGCCAGCCGCCGCGGUAA
rnacentral:rRNA from 1 species